GCUGGGCAUGGUGGUGCAUGCCUGUAAUCCCAGGUACUCAGGAGGCUGAGGUGGGAGAAUUGCUUGAACCCGGGAGGCAGAGGUUGCAGUGAGCCGAGAUCAUGCCACUGCACUCCAGCCUGGGCAACAGAGCGAGACUCCAUCUCAA
rnacentral:SRP_RNA from 1 species